UACGUAGGGUGCGAGCGUUAAUCGGAAUUACUGGGCGUAAAGCGUGCGUAGGCGGUUUCGCAAGUCAGAUGUGAAAUCCCCGGGCUCAACCUGGGAACUGCAUUUGUGACUGCGAGGCUAGAGUAUGGCAGAGGGGGGUGGAAUUCCACGUGUAGCAGUGAAAUGCGUAGAGAUGUGGAGGAACACCAAUGGCGAAGGCAG
rnacentral:rRNA from 1 species